CUAAGCAUGAAGCCCCCCUCAAGAUGAGAUUUCCCAUUCCGCAAGGAAGUAAGAUCCCUGAAAGAUGAUCAGGUUGAUAGGUCUGAGGUGGAAGUGUGGCGACACAUGGAGCUGACAGAUACUAAUCGAUCGAGGACUUAACCUA
rnacentral:rRNA from 2 species